GCUGUGAUGGCCGAGUGGUUAAGGCGUUGGACUUGAAAUCCAAUGGGGUCUCCACGCGCAGGUUCGAACUCUGCUUGCAGCC
rnacentral:tRNA from 1 species